rnacentral:rRNA from 1 species
AUUGAACGCUGGCGGCGUGCCUAACACAUGCAAGUCGAGCGCGAAAGGAGCAAUCCGAGUAGAGCGGCGCACGGGUGCGUAACACGUGGAUAAUCUGCCUCAGGGUUGAGGAUAACCUUCCGAAAGGUUGGCUAAUACUCGGUAAGCUUACGGUGACUUCGGUCGCUGUGAGAAAACUAGACCUCUAUUUAUAAGUUUAGGCCCAGAGAUGAGUCCGCGGCCCAUCAGCUAGUUGGCGGGGUAACGGCCCACCAAGGCUACGACGGGUAGCUGGUCUGAGAGGACGAUCAGCCACACUGGAACUGAGACACGGUCCAGACUCCUACGGGAGGCAGCAGUGGGGAAUUUUCCACAAUGGGCGAAAGCCUGAUGGAGCAACGCCGCGUGUGUGAUGAAGGUCUUCGGAUCGUAAAGCACUUUCGACUGGGACGAAAAACCUUUGGCUAACAUCCAGGGGCCUGACGGUACCAGGAGAAGAAGCACCGGCUAACUCUGUGCCAGCCGCCGCAGUAA